AACACGGAAGCCCCGAGCGUUGUUCGGACUCAUUGGGCGUAAAGGGUGCGUAGGCGGCGCGGAAAGUCCGGCGUGAAAGGCAGGGGCUCAACCUCUGGACUGCGUUGGAUACUUCCGUGCUUGAGGACUGGAGGGGAGACUGGAAUUCACGGUGUAGCAGUGAGAUGCGUAGAUAUCGUGAGGAAGACCGGUGGCGAAGGCGAGUCUCUGGACAGAUCCUGACGCUGAGGCACGAAGGCUGGGGGAGCGAACAGGAUUAGAUACCCUGGUAGUCCCAGCAGUAAACGAUGUGAGCUUGAUGUGGGGGGGUUCGACCCCUUCCGUGUCGAAGCUAACGCGAUAAGCUCACCGCCUGAGGAGUACGGCCGCAAGGCUAAAACUCAAAGAAAUUGACGGGGACCCGCACAAGCGGUGAAGUAUGCGGCUUAAUUCGAUGCAACGCGAAGAACCUUACCUGGCCUUGACAUGCAUUGUGUCGUCGGUGAAAGCCGGCUAGUCCUGGAAACAGGACGCUUUGCACAGGUGCUGCAUGGCUGUCGUCAGCUCGUGUCGUGAGAUGUUGGGUUAAGUCCCGCAACGAGCGCAACCCUUGUGGUCAGUUACUAACCGGCUUAGCCGGAGGACUCUGGCCAGACUGCCCUGUCAAACGGGGAGGAAGGUGGGGACGACGUCAAGUCAGUAUGGCCCUUAUGGCCAGGGCUGCACACGUACUACAAUGCCCGGUACAAUGUGAACCGAAACCGCGAGGUGGAGGAAAUCGCUCUUGAAAACCGGGCCCAGUUCGGAUUGGAGUCUGCAACUCGACUCCAUGAAGUCGGAAUCGCUAGUAAUGGCG
rnacentral:rRNA from 1 species